rnacentral:rRNA from 1 species
GAUUUCUGGUAUGGCGCAUUUGGCCCGCCGAGGUUACUCGGUUGUGUGCCGUUAUGCGCCUGCCAUCCUUCUGGUGCUCGGUUCUCCCCUUUACUGGGCGGGAGCCGCUAUCCAGAUCUUUUACUUUGAAAAAAUUAGAGUGUUUAAAGCAGGCUUGCGCUAUGAAUACAUUAGCAUGGAAUAAUAAUUUAGGACUUUGGUCUUAUUUUGUUGGUUUCUAGGACUAAAGUAAUGAUUGAUAGGGACAGUUGGGGGUGCUAGUAUUCAGCGGCCAGAGGUGAAAUUCUUGGAUUCGCUGAAGACUAACUUAUGCGAAAGCAUU